GCGACAAGAUGGCGGCGGCGGCUGCAGCGGCGGCGGGCGGCGCGGGGGGGCCCCCCCCGGCCCCGCGCCUGCCCCCGGCCCCGCCGCCCCCCCGGCCCCCCGGGCCCGCCCGCAUCGGCUACUACGAGGUGGAGCGGACCAUCGGCAAGGGCAACUUCGCCGUCGUCAAGCUGGCCACGCACCUGGUGACCCGCACCAAGGUGGCUAUAAAGAUAAUUGAUAAGACACAGCUGGAUGAGGAGAACCUGAAGAAGAUAUUUAGAGAAGUUCAGAUCAUGAAGAUGCUUUGCCACCCACACAUCAUCAGGUUAUACCAGGUUAUGGAGACAGAGAGGAUGAUUUAUCUAGUGACAGAGUAUGCUAGUGGAGGGGAAAUAUUUGAUCACUUGGUGGCCCACGGGCGCAUGGCUGAGAAGGAAGCCCGGAAGAAGUUCAAGCAGAUAGUGGCUGCUGUCAACUUCUGCCACUGUCGGAAUAUCGUCCACAGAGACCUGAAAGCAGAAAAUCUCCUUCUGGAUGCAAACCUUAACAUCAAAAUAGCAGAUUUUGGGUUCAGUAACAUCUUCACACCCGGGCAGCUGCUUAAAACCUGGUGUGGGAGUCCUCCCUAUGCUGCUCCAGAGCUUUUUGAAGGAAAGGAGUACGAUGGGCCAAAGGUUGACAUUUGGAGCCUCGGGGUGGUGCUGUACGUGCUGGUGUGUGGUGCCCUGCCCUUCGACGGGAGCACGCUGCAGAACCUGCGGGCACGGGUGCUCAGCGGGAAGUUCCGCAUCCCCUUCUUCAUGUCCACAGAGUGUGAGCACCUGAUCCGCCACAUGCUGGUGUUGGACCCGAGCAAGCGGCUCUCCAUGGAGCAGAUCUGCAAGCACAAGUGGAUGAAGCUGGGAGAGGCUGACCCAGAGUUUGACAGGCUGAUUGCCGAGUGCCAGCACCUGAAGACGGAGCGGCAGCUGGAGCCCCUCAACGAGGAGGUGCUGCUGGCCAUGGCAGACAUGGGGCUGGACAAGGAGCGCACAGUCCAGUCUCUAAGAGCUGAUGCUUAUGAUCACUACAGUGCAAUCUACAGCCUGCUCUGCGACCGCCUCAAGAGGCACAAGAACCUGCGCAUUGCAUCGUCCCCAAGCGUCCCACGGACCAUGACCUUCCCCACCUCCACCAACAUCCAGCAGACAGAGCAGACAGGCAAUACCAUGAACAUCAAUGUGCCACAAGUCCAGCUCAUCAACCCUGAAAACCAAAUUGUGGAGACUGAUGGAACAAUGAACCUGGACAGUGAUGAAGGGGAAGAGCCAUCUCCUGAAGCUCUGGUCCGUUACCUCUCCAUGAGAAGGCACACAGUUGGAGUAGCUGACCCACGGACGGAAGUGAUGGAAGACAUGCAGAAGCUCCUGCCUGGCUUACCCCGAGUCACUCCUCAGGCUCCGUUCCUGCAGGUGACCCCGAAUGUGAACUUCAUGCACAACAUGCUGCCCAGGCAGAACCUGCAGCCCAUGGGGCAGCUGGAGUACAAGGAGCAGUCCCUGCUGCAGCCCCCCACCCUGCAGCUGCUCAAUGGGAUGGGCCCCCUGGGGCGCCGGGCGUCAGACGGUGGAGCCAACAUCCAGUUAAAUGCACAGCAGCUGCUGAAACGUCCUCGAGGUCCCUCUCCUCUCGUCACCAUGACACCAGCUGUCCCAGCUGUCACCCCAGUGGAUGAGGAGAGCUCUGAUGGGGAGCCAGACCAGGAAGCUGUGCAGAGAUACUUGGCAAAUAGGUCAAAAAGGCACACUCUGGCAAUGACCAACCCUACAGCUGAAAUCCCUCCAGACUUGCAGAGGCAGCUAGGACAGCAGUCCUUCCGACCCCGGGCCUGGGCUCCACACCUGGUCCCCGAUCAGCACCGUUCUAUUUACAAGGACUCAAAUACUCUGCACCUCCCCACCGAGCGCUUCUCCCCGGUUCGGCGCUUCUCUGAUGGCGCUGCCAGCAUCCAGGCUUUCAAAGCCCACCUGGAGAAGAUGGGCAAUAACAGUAGCAUCAAACAGCUCCAACAGGAGUGUGAGCAGCUCCAGAAGAUGUACGGUGGGCACAUGGACGAGAGGACACUGGAGAAGACACAGCAGCAGCACAUGUUGUACCAGCAGGAGCAGCACCACCAGAUUCUUCAUCAGCAGAUUCAGGACUGUAUCCGGCCACCCCAGCCAUCUCCACCCUUGCAAGCUCCAUGUGAAAACCAGCCAGCUCUCCUCACUCACCAGCUUCAGAGGUUACGGAUUCAGCCAUCCAGCCCACCCCCAAACCACCCCAACAACCAUCUCUUCAGGCAGCCCAACAGCAGCCCCCCUCCUGUGAGCAGCAGUGUGCUCCAGCCCCAUGGUGCUGCCUCCCAGUCCCAGUUCCAAGGGAUGCCAUCCCACAACACAAUCUUCCCGCAGUCUGGUAACUGUUCCCCUCCCCCAGCCAUGGGGCUGACGUGCCUGGGCCUGCAGCAGCAGUCGCAGCCUCAGCAGGUCACUAUCCAAGUGCAGGAGCCCGGCGACAUGGUCAGCAGCAACCUCCUGCAAGGGCCCUCUGUGGCCGGGCAGGGCAUGUCCUCCCACACACGGGGCAUGUCCAUCAGCCCCAGCCCCAACCAGCUCCAGAUGCAGCACCGUGCUAACCUGAUGGCCUCGCUCACCUACGGCCACCGGCAGCUCUCCAAGCAGCUCAGCGCCGACAGCGCUGAGUCGCACAGUCUGAACAUGAACAGGUAUCCCCCCACCAACUACGACCAGGUGCACUUACACCCCCACCUGUUCCCGGAGCAGCCUCGCGUUUCCCCCAGCAACUACAGCCCUUCGGGAGGAGUCGGGUUUCCUCCAGCUCAGCAAGCUCUGAAGGUCCCGCAGCUUGACCAGUAUCCCAGUUUCCCUCAAAAUGCACAUCAGCAACAGCAGCACUACACUGCAUCGGCACUACAGCAAGCACUGUUGUCCCCGACGCCUCCCGACUACAGCCGACACCAGCAGGUACCGCACAUCCUCCAGGGACUGCUUUCCCCCCGGCACUCGCUGACGGGGCACACGGACAUGCGGCUGCCCCCGACUGAAUUUGCACAGGUCAUCAAACGGCGGCAGCAGCAGCAAGACUUGCAAGAGUUGUUCAGGCAUAUGAGUCAAGGGGAUGCUGGCAACAUGGGCACCAGCGUGGGACAGAACCUCUCGGAGCGCCAGUCGCUGUCUUUGCCUUAUCAGAGUGCCGACACCUACCACCCCCAGAGCAGCCCCCAGCACCUCCUAAAAAUCAGGGCGCAAGAAUGUAUCCAGCAGGUACCCGCCUCGGUGCCGCCCCACGGAUACAUACACCAGCCAGCCCUGUUCCAUUCGGAGAGCAUGGAGGAGGACUGUGCCUGCGAGGCUGCCAGGGACAGCUUUCCAGACAGUAAGAGUUCAAACACGUUGACCAAAGGUUGCCACGAGAGCCCCCUGCUUGUAAACGCAGGAGGGCACGGGGACCCGGAUUCUGCGCUAGGAACUGCUAAUCACGCCCAGGAGCUGGGGACACAUCCAUACAGGCAUCAGCCCACUGCUGGAUUCAGUAGGAAUAAGGUGCCCAGCAGAGGUAAGGCUUCCUGCUGCGUGUAUAGGUGACAGGUUUUUUCCAUGCUGGCCACUUGCCUGCCUGCCCCAGGGCACCCUCUACCCAGCAUGACCAGGGUUUCGUGACAUGCCUUGUAUAGCACAGAGUUACCCAAGUUGUUCUUGGCUUUUGUGGCCUUCAGUAAAUUGCAGGCACAGUCUAAUAAUAAACAAUGUUAAAUAAGGAGGGAACCUGACUGGCUGCUUCUCUUUGGAGUUUGACCUACAUCUGCAGGCAGGUAAAGACCAGGUCCCAGAGCACCACCAUCUUCUCAGGGAUGCUGUGUGCUGCUGACAUACCUGUUCUUGUUGGAGAUAUUCUCUAUCCUGUGUGAAGAAGGAGCUGAGGACAGUGGAGUUGCUAGUGUACUCCAACUGCAGCGGGGUGUUCCUUCCCUUAAGAACAGACCCUUGAGUCCUGGCAUUGCUAAAGCUUUCAUAAACAUGGCAAUAAGAGCAGUGGGAAAUGUCUUGCCUCUGGUGCUUUGGGAAGCAGCAGCAAGAUUCUGGCCCUGCUGGAACUGGAAGGGGUUGUUUCUGGAGAAAGGGAGCUUAAACUUGCCCGUAGCCUCUGAAGACCUUUCCUGCUAGCUGGAUUCAGUUGUUCCUUUGCUCCUUGGUGGCUGUGUUGGCAGUGGUGUGCUGUAAGAGAAAUUCCUGCCUGAGCUGUAGUUGCAGGCCUUCUCUGCAUGAAAAACACUGUCCUAGCUCUGUGCUGAGGCCUUUGAAGAGAGGCUGAGCUGGGUGGAUCAGUAUUCCCUGCAGGACCAAGCUGUGCUGGUCUGAAGCCACCAGCUUGCCCUUGGCAUAGAGGCCCCUAUUGCAGAGGAGCAGUGUCCAGGACACAGGAGGCACAGCUUUGUUUGGGGACACAGCACGGGUUUGUUGGGAAAGUUCUGGGUUGGAACAGGCUGGCUGGGAGGGCAGAGCAGGCAUGCCAGGCCCUGGCUGCCCAGAGCAGGGGUAGGGGUAGGGACAAGGCUCAACUUUCCUGAAGUUUUCUUGAAUUUUUGGGUAACUGAUGUUUGCUUCUGGACCUCAGUUUCCCUGCAGUGCUUGAAACUGCCCCAAGUUAAGUUGAGGUUGGGAUGCUCCUGAGGGGCAUUUUGUACCAAGUCAUGAGUUAGUGUUGUCGUACCACAGACCGUUAGAUGAACAACAAGAUUUCAGGAAGGCAGAAGCCAAGUUUCUGCCCCCCCUGCUGAUGGUGCUAGAGCCAGUUACACAAGGGGAAAGGACUUUAGACUAGAAGACUUUUUAAAUGAGCAGAAGCAGGUAAAUGUUUACAAAUAGCAUUGUGUAAGCCCUUCUGACAGGCUGUUUGGAGGGCUGGUUGUAGUGAGCUGUGUCCUGAGAUGCAACUGCUAGCACUGCUUUCCUCCUGACUCCAAUAACCCACUUGGAAUCAGGCCUGUACCACUUCCCUGCAUCUAAAUCUUCCCAAAACUCAGUGCACAUCCCACUAGAAUCCUAGUAUUUUGCUCCCUCACAUGUAGCACAGCUCCAGUGUUCCCAAGCACGCUGUGCACAGGCCCACAGGGUUCCUCAGCCACAUCCCUGGGCUUUCCCAAGGUUUUCCCUAAGCUGUGUGACAAGGUCACAGCUUGUCUUGAGAUGGGAAUAUCUUCUGCCCCAGCUCAUGAGUGUUUUCCCUCAAGCAGGGCAUAACUUGGUAGUGGCUUGGGAGCAUUCAUGCCUUCCAAGGGAGUGGAUUCAUUCUGGUUUGUCUGGUGAGCGUCUGCUGGUGAUGGCAGCUGGAGAGUGUGAGAGCAUCAGUCAGAUCCAUGGCUGAACCACCUUUUAAUGGCAGUGCUCCGGUUUUGCUCCAGCCUGGCCAUCCCAGGGCUGGGAAUGCUGCCCAUGGGAAACCUGCACUGAAGGAGCCGAGCUGGCGAUGGUGGCCCUGCCGCUGUGCCAGUGUCACAUGCCACCCUGCCACAAAGGCCACCUGGCACAGCAGCUCCAUCCCCUAUGGAUGUGGGGAUGAAAGGUUUUCUGCUGCUGGGGCAGGGAUGGGGUGAGGAAAGGAGCAGGAAUUCAGGCUGAGCUGCAGCCCCAGAGGUGCCGUGGUGGCAGUGGGAAGUGUGGGGUUGGGUUUUGGGUCAGGGCUAUUGCAGGUCAGGGGGAAUCGUCCCCCCGUGCCUUGGUCACCCGCAGUGGGGGCUCACUGCGGGAGCCCCGGGGCUGUUUGUGGAGCUGGAGAAGCAGGCUGCUGGUCCCAGCAACCAUUCCCACAGUUGGAGCAGUGUCCUGAGCGGUGCGUGGGUGGCACAGCUCCGCCAACAUCUGUUACCUCAUGUUUUCCUUCUCGCUUUUCCGGGAAGGUCUUUAACCGCGUGUAACCCCACGGUUGUGCAAAGGAAGGGGGAGGCUGGCUGCAACUCCAGCUGCCCUGGGAGGGGGUUCCUGCAGGGCUGCCCUGUCUUGGAGGGAGGGAGGGCAAGUGGAGCAGGUCCUGGCAUGCCUGGGAGGAGUGGCAUGGAGAGCUUGGGUGGCAGAAUGUGCCCAGGAUGGGUUUGGAUCCAGGUGACUUCACGGACAGGUCUUUGGGGAGCAUCUUCCCAGCAUCUCGCGGCUGCAGUCCCAGCCAGGAGGUGUGGUGUCCAGCACAGCAGGAGAUGGCUCCCCAGUGGCCAACCCCCUCCCCCACCCCACCCCGAGCUGAUAGCUCUGGCCAGGGGAUCUACCUGCAGCUGUGUCACCUCAGGGCAGCUCCCCAGUGCUUGUAGCCACAUCCACAUGUUUGUGCUCCACCGGGCUGCUUGCUGGGAGUGAGCUGUUUACGUGCACCAGGCCCAGGGAUAGGUUCCCCCAUGCCUUGGGACUUUAUCCAAAACAUCUUGUACUUGAUGACAAGAGCUUUUGCUUGAUAGGAAUGUAGCCUUUACCCUCGGUCAUAAGAGCUUGCGGUGCAGAUGGACUUUGCCAGGCAGAACACUCAUGCACUCCUACAGCCAGAUUGUAGGGGGGCAGGGAGAAGUCAUCUGAUAAAAGCGAAGAUCCCAGCCAACUCUUCCAGUGAGAUUAUGUUGGUUGCAAUUGCCAAGGGGCCCUGCUAGAACAUCCCGUGUUGGAGACUGGGGUGAAGCUUCUCCCUCUGCUCUUGUAGUCCAUCGUAGGGAACUGUAUGGACAGAAGUUCCCCCAGCCAAGCGAUGCAGGUGCCUGACCACAACGGACUGGGC